GGCCUUGUUAACUUUGGCGACUCCAUGCUUGGAUUAAUUGGUUGGCCUGAACCCCAUAUCUCAGGCUGAUCUAAAAGAACUGGAAACAAAAAAGAAGAUUUCCCAGGACUGUUUCUGUAGAUCGCCAAGUGGAGGUCACACUCCUGGAGCUGAGUCCCAAAGAGAAGACACUGAGCUGUUUGCAUUCUGUAGGCAGAAGCUGAGGACCAGACACAAGACGCUGCUGGCCUUAACCCACAAUGCUGUCUCCUAGAAGUAGCUUGGACAAGACAAGGACUAGGAACAAAGCCAGCUCUAGGAGUGACCUAGAGCUCUGGAGAAGAAGAGGAGCUUUAAGAAGAGGAGGUCAUGAGGAGGACAUGCACAGAGAAAGGAUCCACUCUGCAGGCAUUCAUUUGACAGGAGAUUAUCAUGCACCUCUUGUUUGUUGGACACUAUGGUGGUUCUGGGAGUACAGAGACAGAGAGACAUUGGUUUGAUAAUUACAACAGAGUGUAGUGAAUCCUGUAAGCAAGUCAUGGAAAAAGAAGCAGCUUGAAGAAAAUGACUAAUUCUGGCCAAGCUGUUUGUCCCAGUGGAAAAUAUUUCGUGCUAUGACUUUAGGGAUGAGUACAUUUGUCACCUGAGAAGAAGGGAAAGGAAAUUCUGGACAGUGGGAAUGGGAUUCACAAAGACUUGGAGUCAUGAAAGGGCAUAUGUUGGGUUUAGGAAAAGGAACGUUAUGCAAGGAAGAAUCAUGCGGAAUGCAGAAAUAGGUCAAAAACUAGUUUGGAGCCAUUUUAUAAAGGGACUUGAAUGGCAAGCUUAUGAGCUUAGAUUGUGUUCUGUAGCCAGCAGAGAACUUGCAGAUUAUUUUUAAGAGUUACAUGACUGAACAAUUUUAAAAAUUUUACUCUUAAAACAAACAUGAAGGAAAGUAAUAUAAAAAUUACCCUAUGUACAUCCAACACUCAAUGAUCAAGAUGAAUGAUUUUAAAGCAAAUCUCUCACUUCAUGUCAUUUCUAGAUAUGUACAUAUGAAUUUGUUCUUAUCCAACCACAAUCAGUUUUCUAAGCUAACUAAAUUAAAAAUAUUUUAUUGGCAUCAUUU